UACGGCCAGAUCACGUUCGAGCACCGGUUCUCUUACGAUCACCAGAGUUAAGCUACGUCACGCCUGGUCAGUACCUAGAUUGGUGAGCGCUUGGGAAUACCAGGUGCUGUAAG